rnacentral:rRNA from 1 species
UGGCACCUUCGGUGUCCGAGUUGUAAUUUGAAGAAGGUAACUUUGGAGUUGGCUCUUGUCUAUGUUCCUUGGAACAGGACGUCACAGAGGGUGAGAAUCCCGUGCGAUGAGAUGUCCAACUCUAUGUAAAGUGCUUUCGAAGAGUCGAGUUGUUUGGGAAUGCAGCUCUAAGUGGGUGGUAAAUUCCAUCUAAAGCUAAAUAUUGGCGAGAGACCGAUAGCGAACAAGUACAGUGAUGGAAAGAUGAAAAGAACUUUGAAAAGAGAGUGAAAAAGUACGUGAAAUUGUUGAAAGGGAAGGGUUUGAGAUCAGACUUGGUAUUUUGUAUGUCUUGCUUUCGGGUGGGGCCUCUGCAGUUUACUGGGCCAGCAUCGGUUUGGACGG